CUUGGAAGGGGUGUGAGUUUCGACCACCGCGGCAACGGCGGCUGCGUUCCUUCGAGUCUCUCCACUUCGACUGUACCAGUGAGAGAGCGCAAGUUGGUGACUCGAUCCGAUCUACUUGCAAUCCUAUUCGAUCUCGUCUCAUUGUGGCAGUCUGGUGACGUUUUCUGAGUCUCGAAACCCUCCAAACUCAUUCUUUGGAAUCUGAUGAUUCUUAGUUUGUCCGAGUUAUCGGUAAAUUCCGACAACACGUUUGCCAUUAGAUUUUGGUUUCUCGUGUUUCUGUCUUGUGAACUCUUAUCGGUCAUAUUCUACGGAUCAUAUUAAUCAUCCGUGCUGCUUCACAUUCCAAACAUCGAACCAAUAAUUAUUGUAAGGAUUCAGUAAUUCCAUCUUAUAACUUCCUAAUCGAGAAAUUGAGACUCCAUUUUGCACAAUUUCUGUAGUUAUUGAACGUUGUAAAUGUUUCUUGAAUGUGUUGUCUACUCAGUAGAUACUUUAUUGGCUCAGAUAGAUAUGAAUUAGUAUUUCUCUUUACGACAUCAAGAUGCUAGAUGAUGGUCGUCAUGAUUUAUCCUCUUUUGCAGACUGAUUUCGAAAUGGAACACCAUGUUAUGAUUUUUUUUUAUAGAAUAAGACAUUGCAGAAGGUGAAACAAUUGUGCUGUUCUCCAUGUCAUAUCAUCAACUAACUUCAGUGCAUGCUGAUGCAUCAGACAGGGUUUGCAAACCAGGUUCUUUUUUCCUUCUCUAUGUCUAGGCAAAUAUAGACAUGCACAGAUGUAGCUAUAACUCACAACUCAUUGUUAUUUAAGCAAUAAGAAAUUUAGAUUGAUUUUUUUUUUUUUUUUGGUGCUUACUGAUAACUCUCUACUGAUAUUUCUUGUUACACAGGUGUAAAUCUCAGCUCGAUGUCACAAUUGUUAUCAUCUUAACAAAGGUCCUAAAUGGUAACAUGCAUGCUAUGUCAUCGUCUUAUAUUUAAAAUUCCAUGAGAUUCUGGUUUUUCUGCCAUCAUCAUGCCGACACCAUCAUCACAACAAAAUAACAAAUUUGAACACCAAAAUUUAGGUAUGCAAACACACAUACAGACCGACAUGGCAGGAUAUUUUGGUGGAUUCAAUGAUUUCACAUCAAUACCAGAAGCAGCAAAGUGGUGAAACCUAGCAUGAGAAGAUUGUUGGUUGGUCAUGAAAGAGAAGAAGCCCUUUCAUCCAUCCAUUUAUUCCUUAAUCCAUUAGUGGUGUCUUAGCUCACACCAGUCUUUCAAGUGGGAAUAACUGCAAGGCACUCUCAGUUCAUGUGAAGUUGGAAACCACCACACCCAUUUCCUACUUUACCAAGGAUUGCAGCUUCAAGGACCUACAUAUCAUAUGCAAAAGAUUUUAGUUGUUUGCACUUUUUUCUCAUUAUAGUUGUUGCACUGGUUGCCGUCACGUUACUAACAUGGGCCUUGUUCGAGAAAAAAGAUUUUCCUAGAAAUUGAGACCACUGGAUUGGACUAGUUGUGCAAGCAAUUGCAAACCACUUGCAAAAAUCUUUUGGAAGUUUGAGAAGGCUCUGCAUAUCUCUGGAAUUUCCAGAAGCCUCUGAAAUUGAUGUGUGAAAUGUGAUCUUUGCCUUGUGCACCAAAAAUUUUCUUUUCAUGUCAUGCUUUGCUUCUUGCCGACUGAUCUAGGUGAAGGCUGUGGAGGCACCAGGGACCGAGACCAUAUUUAGUGAUUGCUUUUUCGGCCCACUGUUUCAAGCACAGCAUAUGAGAUUCCGACAACGACCGGCACCCGAGCUGGCAUUUGGACAGGAGAUGCCACUAUGAUUUUAAAGCUUCAACCAACCAAGCGGACCGGUGGCUGAGCUCCCUGGAUGUUGGCAUCAAUUGCUAUUGAAGGUGGCAUCAAUUAUCAUUCCCCUCCUUUGGUGGAUCCUACCUGCCACAUUACCAGGAACCAAAGUGCUACAUCAUGAAAGUGAUCGGCUCCCCUCAUCACUCAGGCUUGAUGCUUAUCCUCGUCAGGUCUCAGUUCUGUUGAAGCUUGGUACUUCGAGACCCAUCUGGUGACGGUGGAAGUAAAGAAGUCAUUCAUGGUUGUGUGUGUUCAUGUUUCAAGGGGACACCCUCGGUGGAAGUUUUUGGUAAGCAUGGUUUCUGUAGUAAGAGAUGUGAAAUGUCCAGCCACUGUCGGGAUUAAACCGCUUUGGAUCAAAUUGCACAUCUUGAACUUAUUGAGCAAGUGUUCUUCAAUUCCUUUACCUUAUGAUUGUUUAUUCUA